rnacentral:lncRNA from 1 species
GAAGAGAGAAAAUUUCAAAAAUAUUAAAACUUCCAACAAAUACAAAUAAAAACAUUCUGGAAAUUAAAAGAGUGAGUAGUAUACACCUGAUAUACAAUCUAAAUAUUCUGAUAUACGGAUUCAGAAAUUAAGGGUUAAGCAUUAACUAGUCUUUCAAAUCUGAAAAAAUUCCCUUUGCUUCGAUCCGUUGAUUGUUGUUGGUGUUUCUGGAUUUUUAUCUUGAGUUUUAAAAUCCGUCACUGGUUUCUCAUUGCUGGUUGUUGCUGGUUACUGGGUGUCGCUAUUGUUGUAUGCUAUUGAAUUUCUGCUGAUCUCCCUUUUCUUUUGCUUCCAAUAUCAGGUACACAACUGACACGCUGGUUACUGUAAACUGAAACAUGAAGCAUGAAUACAAAAAUGAAGAGUUGAAGUUCUGAAUUUAUUUUAAUUAUAUUCUGAAUUUUAUUUGUAUAUAUAAAUUAUUAGCUUACUCUAAUCAGAAUCAUGUAGUUGUUUAAAAUAUAUAGUGGAACAUCUCACGAUAACUUAACGGACGAACUAUCUAUAUAUUUCCUAAAAAAUAAAUAAAUGGUGUAAUAACUCCGUCCAAUUAAUUCGUUAUUGUUGGAUGAUUACCAUGUUUCAAAAGCACGUUAGUUCAUCAAACGAAUAGACCAUUUCAGAACUUGUAGGAAUAUUGUUUAGUUAAAUACUAUUGGUUAAUUUCAGCAUGUAAAUGGUCUAGGAUUAAAAUUAGAUUGCUAAGUUUUUUUUUUUUAAUUUAACAAACUGUGAAAAUGCCUAGUAUAAUGUAACUAGGUAGUAACAUGUGAAUAAGAUGACCCAAGUCUAGUUUUAUGCCAUACACGUUGGGCCUGGGCCCGCAUUGGCAACAGACUGCCAUGCUUGCAUCAUUUUUAGAAUUUAUGAAUCAUAUUCGAAACCCAACUAUAACAACUCAAGCAUGUAAAUAAAUUAAGACCUUUUCUCUUUCAUUUUGUAGAGACAAUUUUAAUAAAAAAAAAUGUAGGCAUUUUAGGAUUAUCCUUUUAAAAUAAAUGAGAAGAGCCUCGCCCAAUAAAACACAUAAAUUGCGGGGCCCUCGAUAAAUGUUUAAUUAAAAUUACUUAGAUUCGGGAUGAGCCGUUUAGCAAAAUUCCACGGCCUUACCCAGAAAUAAUAAUACGCUAAUUGCUUUAGGCGCGCAUUUUAAUAAUCUUACCUUCUUAAACUCGGGUGUGCAUUUCAUGCGACCCAAAUCCAAAUCCCAAAACAUUGAAUAAAAAUGCGUUCCGGAUCGCGGGUGCAUUUCAUGUGACGCAAUCCAAAGACAUGUUUUUAAACGAUGUUCACAUUCUUUUAAAAUAUAAUAAUAAAAGCAGUAAAGAGUUAAAAUUUGCACAUGAGCUCAUAAAUUGUAUAAAAUCAGAUAAACAAGCCGAAUAUGACAGUUGAGCGACCGUGCUAGAACCACGGAACUCGGGAAUGCCUAACACCUUCUCCCGGGUUAACAUAAUUCCUUAUCCGAAUUUCUGGUUCGCAGAAUGUAAUACAGAGUCAUUCUUUUCCUCGAUACGGGAUUAAAUUGGUGAUUUGGGACACCCUAAAUCUCCCAAGUGGCGACUCUGAAUAAAUAAAUAAAUCCCGUUUCGAUUGUCCUUUAAUUGGAAAAACUCCUUCACCCCUUGCGGGGACGGAAAAAGGAGGUGUGACAGUAAGCAAUUAUUUUUUAAAAAAAUUAUGUAAUGCAUUAUAAUUUUAAUACACCACACCAAACAAUAGAUAAAAAAUAAUAUUUGCAUAACUAAUGCUUGCAUUACUAAUACAUGCAUUACUAAUAUACAUUAUUCCACACUAUCCUUAUACACCCUACCAAACGACCCCUAAAGGUGUUUUCUUUUAUAGUAUUUAUUUAUUAUUUAUUUAUGUUUUUGGUAUUUUUGGGGAUUGUGGAAUCUCGGAGAAUGUUUUGAGAUUUGAAUAGGUGGGGAAAAUGGAAAGAAAAAAGAAUGUGAUGGAAGAUUAUUUAAUGAGUAUCCAGAUUUAUUUAUCCAGAACUGAUCUAUUAAAUUUUUAAGUACUAAUAUUACUACUCGUGUGAUGCGCCAACAUUAUUAAAGAAUAUUAAUCAUGUCAAACAUUCAUGAUCUGAUUUGUUUGGAUACAUUUUAACAAAAUUAUAGUUAUCGUCUUAUCUCGAUGUAAGUACCCUUAUAAUAAAAAUAUAUGUAACUAAAUUAAAAAAUCAUAUAAUCAUCAUCUAACUCUUGGAUGAUACUAAAAUAUCACACUCCUUUCUUUUCAAUUUAUCUAACAGUAUUAGAGUUAGUAAAAAAUAAAGAAAUACUUUUAAAACUUGUGGUCUAAAAUAAACCAUAAAUAUUUGUAUGCGUAUAAUCAAUUCAUUAAGGGGUAAAGUAUAAAUUCUAUGGAUAAAUUAUUUCUAAGUAAGGAAAGGUGACAUUCUUUUUUAGAGACUAAAAAGGAAAAAAGUGCCACAUAAUAAAGACGGGUGGAAUAAUUAUAUAGUUUGUGCUCCACACAAUCUAAAAAUAUAACACGAUUCAACACAAAUAAGAAUAUAUUAUAAUUAAAUGAAUCUAAAAAUGCUUGAUUUUGUAUUUUUCUAACUUCAUUUAUUAUUUGAUCAUCAUUGUCAUCGUAAUCAUCAUCAUUAAAAUCUUCAAUUUCGUCAUCAUAUGAGAAAAAUAAUGUCAUGUCUUUUAAUAAUUGAAAAAUUAAUGUAAAAAUUAUCUUCAAUUGGAUUAGAAGGUAUUUUGACUUAGAUAGAAUCAGAAUUAUUAUUGGAAUUUUUAUUCAACUCGUUUUCUGAUAAAUUCUUAAUUCAGUAACUCGAUUUAUAGGUCUUACGUAUUUAGUUAUUUUAUGAAAUCUUAUAGCUUUCAAUCAGAUAUGUGGAUUAUAAAUAUCGAUGUUAUAUUCUUACUUUUAUAUAUAUAUAUAUAUAUAUAUAUAUAUUACUUCUGGUCAAAAUAAUACUACAAUAAUUUUUUGGUCAAAAUUGAUAUUAUGUUAUUGUUGGAUAAAUCAAAUAAAUUUUAGUUAAUUGCUUUAUAAGAUUAUUAAACAUUUUUAUAAGUUAUCGCAAUCUACAUUCAUAGUUUUAGAAAAACAUUACGUUUAUUAAUUGAAAUCCUUUGUUUAAAAUAAUGUCCUUUACCAUCAUUAUACAUGUUUUUCAUAAAAUUAUUUAUCUUUCCAUUUAAAAUAACUUUUUUAUAUUUUAGUCCAAAUUCGAAAACCUUAUAACAUAUGGAAAAUGUUGCAUGUACUCAUCGAAAACUUUUGUUUAAAUAAUAUAUUUCACCAUUGUUGUCAUUGUUUUUUAAAAAGACAUCAUUUAGUUCAAAAUAUUUGUUUUUAUAUUUCAAUCCAAUCUAAAAUCCUUAUCUAAAGAUUCAAAAGUUUGUCUUUCAAUUUUAUUUUAUUACAUAGUCUAACAUAUAUUAUUUUAAAAUUAUCAAGUGGUUUUUUAUUAGCUUGCUACUUAGCAUAAUCUCAAACUAUCAAUUCAAAAUAUUUAUUGGUAAUUCUUAGUAGAUUUUGUGCUAAUUUCUAUUAUAUUUUAUUCUAAAUAUUAUUAGACUUUAUCCUAAAUCUUAUUAGAUUUUGUCCUAAAAGUGCCACAUGGCUUAAUAUCGUUGUCAACACCUCUAUUUAUUGAUAUAUCAACUAUAUUUUUAAGUAUUAUUUGUUUACUUAAUUUUAUCAAAUAAAUUUAAAUUGUGGAUAGAUUCAUAUUAUAUCUAUUCUCCUCUUUAUACAUUAGUUUAUGUUCAUCAAAAUUUUAAUUUUUUCCCAUUUAGUGUUUAUGUAUAAUACAUAUAUUAUUGUAUUAUUUUUUUCAAACGGAUGGUGUUGAAUUAAUUCAAAGAAUAAGCAUAGAAGUUUUUUUUAUUAUAUGUUAUAAAUCUACUAAUAAUGAUCAUAAUUAUUAUUUUUGAUGAGCAAUUAAAUUAAAUUCUUCUUCCCGUUUGUAUUCUUAAUUUCUUAUCCUUUUAUAUAUCUACACUAAAGUUAGAGGGAAAGAAUGUCAUCUAUUUAUCAGUUUUAUCAAUGUUAUUAGGAAAUGACAUAAGUUUGCACCGUUAAAUUGAAGUAGACUCUUCCAAAAAAAGGUCCGAUUGGAUGGAAAUUUUGAGAUUGCAUUUUCUUUUAAUUUGUUCCGCAAGUAGAAGCAGUGAUCUUAGCAGUUAGCGCAAUGGUAAAAAUAGUGGUGUAGAGGAUUUUCGCCAAAGGUCUUGAAAGAAUUAGCCCAAAGGAAGAAGAUCCAAAAAACUUGCUACUAUUAAACUCAACAGAAUGAGAAGAAUAAUACCCAAAUUGGAUAAAUAAAGGAAAAAUAGGCAAAAUAAAACUUACCUUACUACUUAAUAUAUACUCCCUUUGUCGAUCACAUUAGAAGAAUUCUCUCACAGAUCCUCCUUGUGAAAAAUGCUGCAAAAAUACAAAACAAACAAAAUCUACUUAGAUGUAGAUUAAUUAAAAUUGAAAUGCAGAACUUGCACUUUUUCGAAUAAAAAAAGAGCACCUUUUCUGGAUGAAAUUAUGAAUCGAUUAUUUUGAAUCCAUAACCAUGGUUUAACAAUGUUGUCGUCGACGAACUUUUAGCAAUUUAAAUUUUACUUCAAAAUUGAACUUCGCAGUGCACGAAUGUAGAAUCACUACGGAUACCUUGAACUGAAAAUGUGAAAUUGCAUAAAUUUUAAGCCCACGCAUUGAACGAAGUUCAUAAUUAAAAAAAAAAUAGGAGGAGAUUAUUUAUGAGGGAGGGAGUGGGGAUGAAUAGUCCAUAAUGUGGGUAUUGUUUCAGGGUUUUUUUAACCUUUGCAGUUUCUAUUUUCUUAUUAGUGCUGAGUAAUGUGGUCUUUGAAGUUAACUGUUGCUUGCCUUUAAAGUUUAAAAACUUUACGUGAAGAGGGGGAAUGGAGGAAGUGGGAGUAGUUGGUGAUUUUUAUUGGUGGUUUCUAUUGUUUGAAAAUUUAAAAAUUCU